rnacentral:rRNA from 1 species
UGUGUGUUAGUGGAAGCGUCUGGAAAGGCGUGCGAUACAGGGUGACAGCCCCGUACACAAAAAUGCACAUACUGUGAGCUCGAUGAGUAGGGCGGGACACGUGGUAUCCUGUCUGAAUAUGGGGGGACCAUCCUCCAAGGCUAAAUACUCCUGACUGACCGAUAGUGAACCAGUACCGUGAGGGAAAGGCGAAAAGAACCCCGGCGAGGGGAGUGAAAAAGAACCUGAAACCGUGUACGUACAAGCAGUGGGAGCCUCUUAAUGGGGUGACUGCGUACCUUUUGUAUAAUGGGUCAGCGACUUAUAUUCUGUAGCAAGGUUAACCGAAUAGGGGAGCCGAAGGGAAACCGAGUCUUAACUGGGCGUUAAGUUGCAGGGUAUAGACCCGAAACCCGGUGAUCUAGCCAUGGGCAGGUUGAAGGUUGGGUAACACUAACUGGAGGACCGAACCGACUAAUGUUGAAAAAUUAGCGGAUGACUUGUGGCUGGGGGUGAAAGGCCAAUCAAACCGGGAGAUAGCUGGUUCUCCCCGAAAGCUAUUUAGGUAGCGCCUCGUGAAUUCAUCUCCGGGGGUAGAGCACUGUUUCGGCAAGGGGGUCAUCCCGACUUACCAACCCGAUGCAAACUGCGAAUACCGGAGAAUGUUAUCACGGGAGACACACGGCGGGUGCUAACGUCCGUCGUGAAGAGGGAAACAACCCAGACCGCCAGCUAAGGUCCCAAAGUCAUGGUUAAGUGGGAAACGAUGUGGGAAGGCCCAGACAGCCAGGAUGUUGGCUUAGAAGCAGCCAUCAUUUAAAGAAAGCGUAAUAGCUCACUGGUCGAGUCGGCCUGCGCGGAAGAUGUAACGGGGCUAAACCAUGCACCGAAGCUGCGGCAGCGACACUAUGU